AUCAUAACAUAAAAGCAUUAGAAAAUGAUAUGAAAAUUUAAAACAUUUCCAACACAAUCAAAGUAUUUUAUAAAUCGAGCGGAAGUCUAACAUAAUUGUCUCAAACCAUCUAACAUAAGAGAUAAAAGAUCUUGGGACGCAGCCCAUACAAUAGUCCAACAUAAAAAGGAAGACAUAAAAGAGAUAAAGGGGUGGUCCAAUCCUCGAAUACAAUGAGGACUCACCAAAGCUUCACUUCCUUGAUCAACUAUGAACCUAGCUACAAGUGUGUGAAUCGAGAGCGCCGAACCCUACAUUUGAUAAGAAUGUAGGAAAGAGUAUGUGUUAGUACAAAGAUGUACUAAAUAUGAUAUAAACAACAUAAACAUAAGCAUUAGUCAACAUAUGACAUAAGGCAUAAACAUAAUCAAGACAUAAUAAGCAUCAUAAUGAGAGAGAAAUACUUCCUUAAGUCAAGACUUGGGUCAUCCACCUCUAGUCAAGCUUACAUCAUGGAAGGCAUAUCUAGCAACACUCCAAGUCAAACAUAUUUAUAACAUAAUCAUAUCGUUCAUACUUACUUUUAAAGACAUGGGGAUUCGCCUCUAUGCCUAACUUAUAAAGGCUAAUGGAUAUUCGCCUCUUGCCUUAAUUACUUUAAGAUCAUGGGUACUCGCCUCCACAAUCACAUCACAUGACACGGGUAAUCGCCUCCACAUCAUUUCAUAAGGAUCAUGGGUACUCGCCUCCAUGUCCAUUCAUAAUAGUAAGAACGUGGGGAAUCACCUCUUGUUCAAUUCUAAGGAGUAUGGGAAGUCACCACAUAUCCUUCUAUAUAGAGGUCAAGGGUAGUCGCCUUUAGCCUCAUCAUUCAUUUAGUCAUUUUAGUCUAGAUUCAUUUUAGGUGUGCAAUCCUUUCAACCUAGAAUCAUUUAUGUGAGUAAACCUUUUCACAAUCAUUCAAUCAUGCUUAGCAAUUCAUUGUGGGAAGUAUCUCUUCCACACCAUAACAUCAACAAUCAACAAUUCAUACUCUAGGCUUUACUCUCAAAGCACUACAUCUCAUGAUCAUCAUCUAUGCUUUAAUCUCAAGAAAUUAACAUUAUAAUUCAUCAAUCCUAUAACGAGAUAUCUAAACCCACAAAGUUUCCCUUCAUGGCAUCAACCCAAUUACAUCAAUUCUAGGUCAAAUCAUGGAAUAGGCAUGGGUACAUGUAAUUUCAUCUUAAAAACAUGUAAUUCUAUCAAUUCAAUCAUAAACAAUCAUAAUCCACUCAAUUGGAUCGACAUUCAUCAUAACCCACAAUAUUGGAAGAAAUCCUAACUAGAAUUGGGGACUUAGACUUCACAAUUGGGGAAUCUAGGGGACUCCAUGGGAGAAAGGAUCCCAUGGAUGAAAAGUCAUCAUACCUUAGUCACAAAGCCUACCAAAAGCUUAAAGACUGCAGACUUGAACUUGACCUAGCUUCCUCCUCGUCCUUCUUCUUCUUCCUUCUAGAGAGAGAAUAUUUGAGAGAGAGUUUUGAGUUUUCUUUUGGAAAUUGAGAGAAUGACUUAAUUGAGUGAAUAUAGGGGUCUAAAGUACUU
rnacentral:lncRNA from 1 species